CAAGACGAUAUCAGUGCAAGCCCAGGAUCAGAACCGUGGCAACUGUCAAGUGAGUCCUUAAGUAUUUAAGAAAAACUUAAGGAUAGAUUCCUCAAAGAAUGAGGAAGAAUUAGAGUAACGUAAUGGAAGCGUAAAUGUAUUAGAUUAUGAAUCUGAUCCAUCAUUGGAUGUUUCUUCAUUAUGAAUGAAGAGAUAAACAAAUAUCUCUUUAUUAUGACUAAAGAGAUAUUUGGAUGGAAACAUUAAAGUAAUGACUUUAGUGUGUUCCAUUAUGAAUACAAGAUAUAUUGCCAUAUAGAAGUUUACAACAAUGUUGUUUGGAUGGGAAAGUUCA
rnacentral:lncRNA from 1 species